rnacentral:rRNA from 1 species
UACAGAGGGGGCAAGCGUUGUUCGGAAUUACUGGGCGUAAAGGGCGCGUAGGCGGCCUGCUAAGUCGAACGUGAAAUCCCCGAGCUCAACUCGGGAACUGCGUCCGAUACUGGCAGGCUUGAAUCCGGGAGAGGGAUGCGGAAUUCCAGGUGUAGCGGUGAAAUGCGCAGAUAUCAGGAGGAACACCGGUGGCGAAGGCGGGUCUCUGGGCCGAUACUGACGCUGAGGAGCGAAAGCGUGGGGAGCAAACAGG